rnacentral:rRNA from 1 species
AGCGGCGGAUGGGUGAGUAACACGUGGGGAACCUGCCCCUAAGUCUGGGAUACCAUUUGGAAACAGGUGCUAAUACCGGAUAAUAAAGCAGAUCGCAUGAUCAGCUUUUGAAAGGCGGCGUAAGCUGUCGCUAAGGGAUGGCCCCGCGGUGCAUUAGCUAGUCGGUAAGGUAACGGCUUACCAAGGCGACGAUGCAUAGCCGAGUUGAGAGACUGAUCGGCCACAUUGGGACUGAGACACGGCCCAAACUCCUACGGGAGGCAGCAGUAGGGAAUCUUCCACAAUGGACGCAAGUCUGAUGGAGCAACGCCGCGUGAGUGAAGAAGGUUUUCGGAUCGUAAAGCUCUGUUGUUGGUGAAGAAGGAUAGAGGUAGUAACUGGCCUUUAUUUGACGGUAAUCAACCAGAAAGUCACGGCUAACUACGUGCCAGCAGCCGCGGUAAUACGUAGGUGGCAAGCGUUGUCCGGAUUUAUUGGGCGUAAAGCGAGCGCAGGCGGAAAAAUAAGUCUAAUGUGGAAGCCCUCGGCUUAACCGAGGAACUGCAUCGGAAACUGUUUUUCUUGAGUGCAGAAGAGGAGAGUGGAACUCCAUGUGUAGCGGUGGAAUGCGUAGAUAUAUGGAAGAACACCAGUGGCGAAGGCGGCUCUCUGGUCUGCAACUGACACUGAGGCUCGAAAGCAUGGGUAGCGAACAGGAUUAGAUACCCUGGUAGUCCAUGCCGUAAACGAUGAGUGCUAAGUGU